rnacentral:lncRNA from 1 species
AUAAAUUAAAAAGAAUUAGAUUAAAUAUAUAUAAAAAAUAAAUUUAUAAAAUCUUAUUCAUUAGACUUUGAUCUAAUAAUUGAAACUUUACAUAUAAAUGAGACUUUUAUAAUUAAGCUCACCUUUAUAUUUUUAUUUUGCUAAAAAUUAAAUAAUAAAAAUAUAUAUUAUAUAUAAUUAUUUAUUUAUAUAUAAAAAUAUAAAUUAAAUAAAUUACAUAAAUAUAAAAUAUAUGUUUUCGAGCUGUUAUCAAGCCGAACACGAGCGAACUGACCUUAGCUCGUGUUCGGCUCAUUUAUUAAACGAGCUGAAAAAUUCAGCUCGUAUUCGGCUCGUUUACUAAACAAGCAAUUUGAUCUCGAGCUCAUUUUGAGCCGAACACGAGCUGGCUCGCAAACAGCGAGCUGGAUUGCCACCCCUACCUUAUAGUGUCUUUUUCAAAAAGGUACAUUAAACUACUGUACAUAGUCUUUCUUUUUUUAUGAGAAAAAAUGCCAAAAAUUAUUGGCGCUUUAUUUAUUAAAUAUAUAUUUAAAUGCCAAAUUUCUGGGAUAAAAAGGAUUCUUUGCCAAAGCUAUUAUUAAAAUAAAUCUUGCGCUAAGGACACUUUAAAUAAUAACUAAUAAUGUUUUAAAGCGUCGGCAAGAAUAAUCCUGGCGCUUGUAAGGGGCCGUUUGGUUAGAUGUAAUUACAAAUACAAUAUAGUUAGAAAUAUAUGUAGUUAGAAAUACAACAGUUACAAUUACAUGCAUCCUAUUUAGUUGGAUGUAGUAGAAAAUACUGCAAUUAUAAAUAAUUUGUUUGAUUGCAUAUAGUUGAAAAAUAAUUUUUAAAAUUUUAUCAUUUUAUGUACGUGAUGGUGAGAUUACCUCCAAUGUUAAAAAAAAAAAACUUUUUGUUUAAGAAAUAAUUAGGAAGUUAAGCUUAGCUUUUGCUUAAAGUUACUCCCUUCAACUGCUACAGUUGGACCUCCUCCUGCAGUUCCUAUUGCAGCAGUUGGAGUCAAAUACAUCAAAUCAAACACUGAAUUUAUAUUCGCAUGUAGUUAUAACUGCAGUGUAGCUGCAACUACGUGCAACCAAAUAGCCUGGAAAAACGCCAAGUGUAAAGAGUCGUUAAGUAGGCAUAUCGGAAAAAAUAUACCAACACUUUAAUAUAGCGCAGGAAAAUUUUAGCAGUAUUUGAUAUAAAUAUGUUUAUUGGCGAUAUCUAAUCAUAAUGUUAGAACAUGCCAAAUAUUAAAAAUAUUACAAUAAAAUAUCAUCUAAAAAGCGUUGUUUAAAAUAUAUUAUACUAUAGUAUUAUACUAGUGUAGUUAACCGCGCGAUGCGACGGGUAGGUAUUAUCGAAAUAUUAGAUUUUUAAUUCAAUCCAACCCAUCUUAAAUAGAAACUAUCAAAUAAUUCUAAAAUAUACUGUAAAAUAGGUUAAAAAUAGAUAACAAAUAGAAAAUAAGAGAGAGAAAAAAAAAAUAGAGGAACUCUCACUUGGCAUUGGUCUCUAAAAGGAUGAGACUUGCUAUUGCUUUCAUUGCCACCUCAAUCUUCACUGCCAUUGCCCAUGUUUUCUUUCGCAGCCGCAGCCGCAGCCGCAGUACUGCCAUCACAUUCACCACCUCCGUCAUCACUAUGACCUGAAACAUCUAAAGAACUUUAGACAAAAAAAGAGGAGGUAGGGUUGUGGGAGUUAGGGAAAACGAAUGGUAGAGAAGAAGAAAAGACGCGUGUGCUGGGGAGGAGGUAAAAAAAGGCGUUGGAAGUAGGUGAAGUAAUGGACGUUGAGAAGAUGAGAAAAUAAAUGUUAGGAGUUAAAAAAAAAGAAAAAAAUAGAUCCCACGCCUCAUGUUAAAUGAGAAUAGGAGAAGACACCAAAAUUAGUAGUUAACAAAAAAAAUAAAAAAAAGUAAAUGGAUGCCACACUUUUUGCUAAAUGAAAGAGGUCAUAAUUUAUUAUAGAAAAGAAUAAGGCUUUUAUUUUCGUAACAUGCAUAGGAGAGAAGGGGGCUUUUGUGUGAGUUUGUAUGGUUUACGAUUAUAUUAGGGUUAGGGUGGAUGGACGCAUUAAUUAAACGUUAUAUCUGAAUGGAAGACGAAGGAAUGGGUUUUUUGUGUGAAUUUUUAAGUUUACGGUAAGAUAUUGUUAAAUUGGGUGGACGUGUUAAUUAAACGUUAUGUGCAUAGAAAAGGCGAAGAGUUGGUUUCAUAAGGUGAAAGCUAACAGUUAAGUAAACACAGUCACAUGAUUUUUUUUUUGGGGAUUAAUGUAUAGGUAUAGAUGUGGGUGUUCUGCAUUAACUUAUUUUCUAUGAAAUGAUAAAUCUAUUCAUAUAAAUAAAUAAUAAAUAUAUAUAAAGGUAAAAAUAGUGCUUAAAAAAAAAAUAAUAAAACCACAUUAUAUAUAAAAUAU